CAGAAAUGAUACCAAUGUGAGCACUGACAGAGCCAGUGACACAGGAAAUGGUGCCAGUUCAUCUUCAGAGGCUGCAGAGAAUGAUGUGACUUACACUUCUGUGACAGUACGACCUAAAACUAAAGCAAGCAGUCCGGUAUCUGUGGAGGACGAGGUGACCUACAGCUCUCUGCACACACAGGUGAAAGCCACUAAACACCAGAGCAAAAUAUGAACCCACCGGCACUGAAGCUGAAACAAGUUGAUAUACACUUUUUUUUGGCAUACUUUUCAUGCCAGUUAUAAUUACAAAUAC